rnacentral:rRNA from 1 species
AUGAACGCUGGCGGCGUGCUUAACACAUGCAAGUCGCACGAAGCACUUUAACCUGAUUCUUCGGAUGAAGUUUUUUGUGACUGAGUGGCGGACGGGUGAGUAACGCGUGGGUAACCUGCCUCAUCCAGGGGGAUAACAGUUAGAAAUGACUGCUAAUACCGCAUCAGACCACAGAGCCGCAUGGCUCGGUGGGAAAAACUCCGGUGGUAUGAGAUGGACCCGCGUCUGAUUAGGUAGUUGGUGGGGUAACGGCCUACCAAACCAACGAUCAGUAGCCGACCGGAGAGGGAGACCGGCGACAUUGGGACUGAGAAACGGCACAAAAUCCUACGAGAGGAAGCAGAGGGGAAUAGUGCACAAUGGGGGAAACCAUGAUGCAGCGACGACGCGUGAGCGAAGAAGUAUUGCGGUAUGUAAAGCGCUAUCAGCAGGGAAGAAAAUGACGGUACCUGACUAAGAAGCACCGGCUAAAUACGUG